rnacentral:rRNA from 1 species
AUACGUAGGGCGCAAGCGUUGUCCGGAAUUAUUGGGCGUAAAGAGCUCGUAGGCGGUCAGUCGCGUCUGCUGUGAAAACCCGAGGCUCAACCUCGGGCCUGCAGUGGGUACGGGCUGACUAGAGUGCGGUAGGGGAGACUGGAAUUCCUGGUGUAGCGGUGGAAUGCGCAGAUAUCAGGAGGAACACCGAUGGCGAAGGCAGGUCUCUGGGCCGCAACUGACGCUGAGGAGCGAAAGCAUGGGGAGCGAACAGGAUUAGAUACCCUGGUAGUCCAUGCCGUAAACGUUGGGCACUAGGUGUGGGACUCAUUCCACGAGUUCCGUGCCGCAGCUAACGCAUUAAGUGCCCCGCCUGGGGAGUACGGCCGCAAGGCUAAA